AGGGUUUGAUUCUGGCUCAGGAUAAACGCUGGCGGCGCACAUAAGACAUGCAAGUCGAACGGAAGUCGUUACAAAUGGAAAGAAGAUUUAUCUGAUUGAAGUUUGUAACAAUGGCUUUAGUGGCGGACUGGUGAGUAACGCGUAAGGAACCUACCUUUUAGAGGGGAAUAACAAUGAGAAAUCAUUGCUAAUACCGCAUAUGCCAUGAGUGUUGCAUGACACAAGUGGGAAAGGAGCAAUUCGCUAGAAGAUGGCCUUGCGUCUGAUUAGAUAGUUGGUGGGGUAAUGGCCUACCAAGUCGACGAUCAGUAGCCGGACUGAGAGGUUGAACGGCCACAUUGGGACUGAGAUACGGCCCAG
rnacentral:rRNA from 1 species